ACAAUAAACAGGUUCAAAUGGAGGAGCUGAAAACACCCUCUUACCUCCACCAGAUUGUUACCUGACCAAAUGUAGGUCCCCUCACCCAACUCACAGCAAAGCCAACCCACUGGGCACUGGAUGUGAUGAAGGAUUACCUGGAAAAAGACCCGCCAUGGAUCCCAUUGGGUGUCACUGACUCAAUGCAUAUGAGUUUGAAUAAAAUGCAGGAGAUACCAAAGAACAGGGGAGCCUGACAUGCUGCAGUUCAGGGGUCGCAAGAGUCAGAUAUGACUUAGGGACUAUACAAAAACAACAACAAUGGAUCCCAUUAUGAUCAAAACCCACUACAAUCCCAUCUGGCCUGCCUUUGUGACCCUGUCUACCUGACAGGAGCUCCCACUUUAUCCAGCACAAUGCCUUGAAUACAUAACAAGUAUUCAAAAUAUAUUCAUGGAUAGAUAUAAAAUCCUAAAGGAAAUCAGUCCUGAAUAUUCAUUGGAAAGACUGAAGCUGAAACUCCAAUCCUUUGACCAUCUGAUGUGAAGAACUGACUCAUUGGAAAAGACCCUGAUGCUGGGAAAGUUUGAAGGCAGGAGGAGAAGGGGACGAUAGAAGAUGAAAUGGUUGGAUGGCAUCACUGAUGCAAUGAACAUGAGUUUGAGCAAUCUCUGGGAGUUGCUGAUGGACAGGGAAGCCUGGUGUGCUGCAGUCCAUGGGGUUGCAAAGAGUUGGAUAUGACUGAGCGACUGAACUGAACAGCAUUUGAAAGUCUAGCCUCUCACAUUGUUUACAUACCAUCUAUGUUACAUUUUCAAAUAAAUAGAAUUCUCUCCACCCACACUAAAAUUAACUGAAGUCUUCUAAAUGAGUGUCUGAACAACAGAUACUGUGCUUGCAGACUCAGCUGUCAACUCUUAUUUCUGAAUAGCUAAAUAAGCGAAUGAUCUGACAUUUCUAACAUUUCAGUACAUAUCCUACUUUCUUGAGUACAAGAAAAGGUCUGUGAACCUAAAAUUCCUAGCUGUGAAAUACCGACUUUGCCUUUUGCUCAAGUUUUCCUUGAAUGAGAUGUUAUCUCCCACACAUUUACCCUAAGAAUAAAAUAGCAACACAUUAGAAGCCAGGCAAAGAGGCAGUCUUUUUAUUCAUGAAAGCAAAAGGCAAAGUUAAGAUAUUUUGUAGAAAGCAGUAUUUAUAGUAAAACUGUAGAAUUAGAAAUUCUUAGUUCUAACAUAGGUCUUGUCUGACCAGUGCCUUCUCUGUUUCUUCACAUUUUAAGUGGUGGCAGUCAUAGUCUUCAUGACUGUUUCACCUGCUUCUAUUUAGGUGAAUUCUAGAGGGAAUCAUGGGGUGUUUUUCUUUGCAUCUUCUAGAAAAUUAGACUUGAAUCAACGUUUAUUCAGUUUCCAUAUUAUCCUCUCAGGUUUUUGACACAAUAUAAAAUGUAGGCAUUCAAAAGGCUAUAAGUCUAGAAUGGGCACAGGUUAAACGAGAGGAAAGAGUAUGGCGGGUAGGGGGUGGAGUGGGCGCUGGGCAGCAGCAGGUGCAAACCAUCACCUGCAGAAUGGAUGGACAGCAGAGUCCUCCUGUGCGGCUCAGGGAAGUAUCUCCAUCUCCUGGGAUAAGCUGUAAUGGAAAAGGAUAUUAAAAAGCAUGUAUAUACAUGUAAAACAGAGUCACUUAGCUCUACAGCGGUCAUCAACACAACAUUCUAAUUCAACUGUUCUUCAGUUAAACAAUUAAAAAUAUAUACUAAUGAACAUGGCAAUAAGGCAAGUAAAAGAAAAAAAAAAAAAACAAGUUAAUGUGGACCAAAACUCUCCUAAUGUUAAUCCCACAAAACAUUUGCCUAAAACGUGUGCAUCACAGAGCACUUUAUAGUUCCCAUUUUGACCCUCCUGACCUUGUGAGGUAAGCCUUGGCUGUAUCCAUCUUCUUCCCACCCACCCCCGACUCCCAGUUUUUUAAG
ensembl:lncRNA